AUUGAACGCUGGCGGCAUGCCUUACACAUGCAAGUCGAACGGCAGCGGACCUUCGGGUGCCGGCGAGUGGCGAACGGGUGAGUAAAGUAUCGGAACGUACCUUUCAGUGGGGGAUAACGUAGCGAAAGUUACGCUAAUACCGCAUAUUCUCUGAGGAGGAAAGCAGGGGACCUUCGGGCCUUGCGCUGAUGGAGCGGCCGAUAUCAGAUUAGCUAGUUGGUGGGGUAAAGGCCUACCAAGGCGACGAUCUGUAGCGGGUUUGAGAGGAUGAGCCGCAACACUGGGACUGGGCCACGGCCCAGACUCAUAAGGGAGGCAGCAGUGGGGAAUUUGUGACAAUGGGCGAAAGCCUGAUCCAGCCAUGCCGCGUGAGUGAAGAAGGCCUUCGGGUUGUAAAGCUCUUUCGGCCGGGAAGAAAUCGUGUGGGCUAAUACCCUGCAUGGAUGACGGUACCGGAAUAAGAAGCACCGGCUAACUACGUGCCAGCCGCCGCCGUAACAC
rnacentral:rRNA from 1 species